rnacentral:rRNA from 1 species
GAUGAACGCUGGCGGCGUGCCUAAUACAUGCAAGUCGAGCGAACAGAUGAGGAGCUUGCUCCUCUGACGUUAGCGGCGGACGGGUGAGUAACACGUGGAUAACCUACCUAUAAGACUGGGAUAACUUCGGGAAACCGGAGCUAAUACCGGAUAAUAUAUUGAACCGCAUGGUUCAAUAGUGAAAGACGGUUUUGCUGUCACUUAUAGAUGGAUCCGCGCCGCAUUAGCUAGUUGGUAAGGUAACGGCUUACCAAGGCAACGAUGCGUAGCCGACCUGAGAGGGUGAUCGGCCACACUGGAACUGAGACACGGUCCAGACUCCUACGGGAGGCAGCAGUAGGGAAUCUUCCGCAAUGGGCGAAAGCCUGACGGAGCAACGCCGCGUGAGUGAUGAAGGUCUGCGGAUCGUAAAACUCUGUUAUUAGGGAAGAACAAAUGUGUAAGUAACGAUGCACGUCUUGACGGUACCGAAGCAGAAAGCCACGGCUAACUACGU